rnacentral:rRNA from 1 species
AUUUUUGAGAGUUUGAUCCUGGCUCAGAACGAACGCUGGCGGCGCGCCUAAUACAUGCAAGUCGAGCGAGAAGACGUAGCAAUACGUUUGUAAAGCGGCGAACGGGUGAGGAAUACAUGGGUAACCUACCCUCGAGUGGGGAAUAACUAGCCGAAAGGUUAGCUAAUACCGCAUACGACUCCCGGUCUGCGGAUCGGGAGGGAAAGCGAUACCGUGGGUAUCGCGCUCUUGGAUGGGCUCAUGUCCUAUCAGCUUGUUGGUGAGGUAACGGCUCACCAAGGCUUCGACGGGUAGCUGGUCUGAGAGGACGAUCAGCCACACUGGCACUGCGACACGGGCCAGACUCCUACGGGAGGCAGCAGUAAGGAAUAUUGCGCAAUGGGCGACAGCCUGACGCAGCGACGCCGCGUGGGGGAUGAAGGUCUUCGGAUUGUAAACCCCUUUCGGCAGGGAAGAUGGAACGGGCAACCGUUCGGACGGUACCUGCAGAAGCAGCCACGGCUAACUUCGUGCCAGCAGCCGCGGUAAUACGAAGGUGGCAAGCGUUGUUCGGAUUUACUGGGCGUACAGGGAGCGUAGGCGGUUGGGUAAGCCCUCCGUGAAAUCUCCGGGCCUAACCCGGAAAGUGCGGAGGGGACUGCUCGGCUAGAGGAUGGGAGAGGAGCGCGGAAUUCCCGGUGUAGCGGUGAAAUGCGUAGAGAUCGGGAGGAAGGCCGGUGGCGAAGGCGGCGCUCUGG